rnacentral:rRNA from 1 species
UACGAAGGGGGCUAGCGUUGCUCGGAAUCACUGGGGCGUAAAGGGUGCGUAGGCGGGUUUUUAAGUCAGGGGUGAAAUCCUGGAGCUCAACUCCAGAACUGCCUUUGAUACUGAAGAUCUCGAGUCCGGGAGAGGUGAGUGGAACUGCGAGUGUAGAGGUGAAAUUCGUAGAUAUUCGCAAGAACACCAGUGGCGAAGGCGGCUCACUGGCCCGAUACUGACGCUGAUGCACGAAAAGCGUGGGGGAGCAAACAGG